GGGGAUUUAGCUGAGCGGCAUAAGCACCUGCCUUGCAAGCAGGUGGUCGUGAGUUCGAGCCUUGGUACCA
rfam:Cavia porcellus supercont2_15 genomic scaffold, whole genome shotgun sequence.